CUUUCUUUAAUUUUCUACCAAUCCCUUCACAUUUCUCAGAGGCACAUUACGCUAUAGCUCAACUAAAAUUCCAGAUCUUUGAGCAUGUUGAAGAAAAAUUCAGACCUGGAGACAGAGAAAAGGUUAUUUAGAGAAGCUCAUUGCCUACAUCCAUGGUUAUACAUUAGCUCGCUAGCUCUCAGACAUUAGUCUGAGCGCAUGCGCGUGGAGGUUUCCGCAGCCGUUUAGUUGUACGCAUGGGCAUCCGGUUCGCGGAAAGCGAAAUGUCCUUGUUUCAUGGGGACUGAGACGUCAUUGCGCAGAUGUCUUCUCAUACUUUGAACGUCAUGACGCUGACGUUACGUACUUAGCGGAAAUGAAUCCUUUGGCGGUAACUUUACAGAUCUCUCCAUGUUUCAAUUUAAUUUAAUCACUUAAUUUAUUUACUUAUCUAAUCAGUAAUUUUGCGACCUGUGAGACAGCUGACAGUCUAUGUUUGGGUAAGCUACAUUGGAUUAUAUGAAUUUGACUCUCUUGAUUGUCUAAUUAUGUUAAUCACUUGUAUUCCUAUAAAAUGGUAUUUGUAUGUGCAUUUGAUAGCUUGACAAAGACAGUUCAGGUCGAAACGUUGUGAGUGGCGGUGGGUUCAAUAGAUUUUUUGUACUCUGGAGUGCCUGGACCUUUUUCGAUUUUUUGCCUUGUGUGUAAGUCAGUGAUUAUGUGUUUGGGUCUUUGUAUGCAUGUGUUUGGGUCUGUGACUGUGUGUGUAUGCAACCGUGUGUAUAGGUCUGUGAUUGUAUGCGUGUGUGGAACUGAUUAUGGGUGUAUGCAUGUGACUGUCUGUAAAGGUCUGUGAUUUGGCUCCGUCCUUAAGGGGUUAAUUUCACCUGAAUCGGUAUACGAACCAAACCAAACAGACUUUACCCUAGCUGGCUCGUAUACCGAACGUUCUACCAAACGCUUGGACCACCCAAAGCAGUCGUGUGCCGCCAAUUGACCUUAUUGACGCUGCUCUAAACAUUCUAAAUGGUUCACUGGGUGGCCGUCAAUUUGUAUGGACAAACACUUGCAUAAAGGGCCAGUGUAGCUACCGUUAAACCAUUCCUGCUUAACCCUCAACACGUAGCCUCGUCUCAUGAUUGUAGGUAACCGAUAUACAGCUAUACCAUCUUUGGUCGGCAGAGAUAUCAACUGGAGAAUACUACAGGACUGCGCCUACUAAGGGAAAAGGAAGUCUCUGGCGAGAUAUACCGCUUCACUCUUGGGGUGUCCGUCACAUGAUUGUAUGUGUGUGUAGGUCUGUGAUUAUAUAUGUUUGUGGCUCUGUGAUGAUAAGUGUGGUUAUGUGUGGAUAUGUAUAUACAUGUGUAUUUGUUUAGUAGAUAGCUCAUCCCACAUAAGGAUAAUAAAUAAGAGAGUUAUCUACUAAAUAGAUUUAAGAAAAGGGCUUCUGAAGUUUUAUUACAUAAAUCCAUUAUAUUAUAGAUUUCAUGUGUGGCCCAAGACAAUUCCUCUGUGCUCAAUGUGGCCCAGGGAAGCCAAAAGGUUGGACACCCAUGUUUUAAGUUAUUUAAAUAUGCAUAGGGAUUUGGGAUAGUGCACAAUUAACCCUAUGUUUUUAAUUGUAUGUAUUGGGGCUAUUAUGUACUAUUGCAUUGCUGCCGCCCAGGACUAGUGGGAGUUUGAGUGUAGGACUUAAUUUUGCAUAGAAGUAUUAAAAUGUGGUGUUUUAUUAGUCAGUUCCUGGACAGUUUUUGUGUUUCUGUGAUUCAUCCUCCUGUGACUUUUUUACCGCACAGAUUCAUCAGGAAAGCCCUGGAACCCUCAGCCAAAGUACUAGUCAUUUGCAACUGUUACGAUAAACGUGUUAACAGUACCAAGACUGCAGGUACAGUCUAUAAACACCAGAACCACUACAAAAGCUGUAGUGGUUUUGGUGAAUAUCAUGCCCCUUUAAGUGGGCUGUGAGAGCAUUAGAGAAGUCAGCAGACACUCUAAGCCUAUCACAGUCACCAAUAGCAGCUUGGGUAAUUGUGAAACAGCUUGAGCAGUAGAGAGGGUCAGCGGAUACCAACGGUCCUUUGACAGCAUUAACCUGUUCUAAAACCGUUUAACACUGACACAUGUGCCUGCACCAGGAAUAUCAGUGUACCAUAACCACUUUAGGUAAGUGGUUAUCGUACACAGACCUUUUCUCUUAAAAUUUUGUCAUAUUAUUGUUUUGUUAAAUUCACUAACUAAAUUAUGCAGGAUUUAGUAGGAUCUUUGUUCUGAGCCUAUUGAUUACAGUUUGUACCUAAAAUGGAUUUUAUAACCAUA